GUCUGUCAGGGCGUGGCUCUCCAUUACACUCCUGACAAUCAACCUGCACACCUGAGAUCCAUCCACUAAUCAAGCUCCUGCAGUCCCAGAAUUGAGAACCCUGACCAAACACUGUCUUUGAUGUCAGUCUUGCUUUUUCAGACUGGUGCUGCAACACACGUGGAUGCACGUGGAUGCUGGCUCCAGAGGGACAGGAUCCUGACUGAAGUUCCCACAACAGCCACAGGUGUCCUUAAAAAGAAUGUUUUGAAAACUCCAUGGUAUGAAAUCUAAUUCAAAGCCUUUACUGACACUGGAUGACAGGAUAUAACGUGAUUAAGAGUGCUGUCCUUGUUGGUACAUCUUUGAUGUAAAACUUUAUCACCCUCCACUGAGUGAGAUUUUUAAAAGCAGAGCAGAGCUUAAGCCACGUGCCAGACUAAGCCUCCUUAGAGGCUGAAUAAAUGUCUUUUAGUGCACCUACAGCAGAUUAAAAAGGUUUUAGUAUUUUAAUAAUAACUUAAAAUACACAUACACUGACUUUUGAGUUGCCUGCAUGAGAUAGUAGUUCUACCCAGAUCGAUUCUGUUUUGCAUCCCUAGUAAAUGUUUAUAUUGAUCUGUACUUUAUUCUGUAAUCCAAAAAAUGUAACAAACAGAUUUUAAACCAAGAUAAUUAGU